rnacentral:hammerhead_ribozyme from 1 species
GAACUACUGAGGAGUCCCAUACUAGGACGAAACGGCCGUCCAGUGC